rnacentral:rRNA from 1 species
CCGCCAGAGAACUACUAGUGAAAAACUUAAAACUCAAAGGACUUGGCGGUGUCCCACAUCGACCUAGAGGAGCCUGUCCUAUAAUCGAUAAUCCUCGCUCUACCUAACCUUAGCUAGCCCCUCCAGCCUAUAUACCGCCGUCGACAGUCUACCCCAUGAGGGCCCAAUAGUAGACAAAAUAACCAUACCGCUAACACGUCAGGUCAAGGUGUAGCAAAUGCUAAGGAAGAGAUUGGCUACAUUUUUUAAUCUAAAAAUUACGAAGUGCACCAUGAAAUUCUGCACGAAGGUGAAUUUAGUAGUAAAAU